rnacentral:rRNA from 1 species
UGGGGAAUUUUCCGCAAUGGGCGAAAGCNUGACGGAGCAAGACCGCGUGGGGGANNNAGGUUCUUGGAUUGUCAACCCCUUUUCUCAGGGAAGAACACAAUGACGGUACCUGAGGAAAAAGCAUCGGCNAACUCCGUG